rnacentral:rRNA from 1 species
CCUACGGGUGGCCGCAGUGGGGGAUAUUGCACAAUGGGGGAAACCCUGAUCCAGCGAAGCCGCGUGGGCGAAGACGUAUUUCGGUAUGUUAAGCCCUAUCUGCAGGGAAGAAGAAAUGACGGUACCUGAAGCAGAAGCCCUGGCUAACUACGUGCCAGCAGCCGCGUUAAUACGGAGGGGGCCAGCGUUAUCCGGAUUUACUGGGUGUAAAGGGGGCGCAGACGGCGGUGCAAGCCAGGAGGGAAAUGCCGGGGCCCAACCCCGGGACUGCAUUUGGAACUGGGGGGCUGGAGUGCAGGAGGGGCAGGCGGAAUUCCUGGUGUAGCGGUGAAAUGCGUAGAUAUCAGGAGGAACACCGGUGGCGAAGGCGGCCUGCUGGACUGCAACUGACGUUGAGGCCCGAAAGCGUGGGGAGCAAACAGGAUUAGAUACCCGAGUAGUC